UCAGGGGAGCUUUUCUACCUAUCAACCCAAGAUCUGAAAAAACGCCUGCUUUUGAAUAUUUGACAGUGUGUGUCUUCCUCUCAGGUUUGGAAUGUGAACCGCCAGGAGGAGAGUAAUGCAGGGAACUGGAAGCAGCUUUGAACAACAAAGGUGAAGGACUGGGAACACUGGAAACAUCCUUCAGGGCACUACAUAAUUUGAACCUCCUUCUGACUUCUUCCUUUUAUCUUCUGCAAAGAAGGAAAAGGGUGAGGAGGCGUAGGUCUGCCCACCGGGGAGCGAGUUGGCCCAACCAGAUCUUUUCAUCAAGAACACACACAACCAGAAGACGAGCUUGAAUUACAGGGGGCAUCAAAAGACGUUUUUCUUCCCCUUUAUUAUUGUUCUUCACAUCCUCUUUCUCUCUCUGCUGAGACAAAGGGACAGACCUGAGCGAUGGCAACUGGCGCAGGUGUUGCUGAUCUUCGGCUGAUUGGCCUUACCUGGGAGGAGUACUUCGGAGCCUGCCACCAGUCCUUCAGCACCUGAGUGUUGUUGCCUUAGUGAAACCUGUGAGGUGUGGUCUGUUACCUACGGAGCUGGACUUGGACAUUCUACACCUUCUACUGCUGUUUGUGAAUUUGGAUUAUUCAUCUCUGACAAGCUAUUUGGAUUGCCUGACUCCCAAGCCCAGUGGUAUGACCCUCCUGAAUUUCUCUGCUCAAGUGAUCAAGUAAGCAAAACGUCUGGAGCUAUAUGGAUGUACUUCCAGCCCAGAUCUGAACUAACUUGCCUCUUUCUUCAGUGGACUCGAAGAACCUUCCAACCCUCGUUCCAGUAGAACUCUCCUUGUGUGUUUAAAUAAACCUUUGAAACUUCUCUGGUCUCCUGAGUGAGUUUUGCAUGUGGGUCAAAAUAAUUCUUAAAACAAUGACAGAACACUCAGGCCAACAAGACCCAGCAGACUCACUCAGAGUUCAAAUAACAGAUCAGUAUCAAUUAAUACAGUCGCAUGAUUCCAAGCUCAGGUCUUUACAUGACCAGCUUACCAUCACCAAUCAAAAUUUGGAACAAAUGGCUGGACAAAUACAGAGUUUCCUACAUAGUCUGCAAUCUAAACACUGGAAACAUAUUCGACUUGUGCUGCAACGGCUGCUAGAGAACAAAUUAUUUGUUAAGGCCGAGAAAUGUGAGUUUCACAAGUCCACUGUGUCCUUUUUGGGCUUUAUCCUGCGCAGUGGUCAGUUGUGUUCCGACCCAGCAAAAAUUAAGGCAGUGCUUUAAUGGCCCGUACAAGAGUCCAGGAGGCAGCUUCAACGCUUUUUGGGCUUUGCAAACUUUUACCGUCGCUUUAUUAGGGACUUCAGCCAAACGGCUGCCCCCCUUACAUGUCUCACCUCCACCAAAGUAGCUUUUUCCUGGACACAUGAAGCUGACUCUGCCUUUAGAGAGCUAAAGGAAAGAUUUGCCAAAGCGCCUAUUCUGCUUCAACCUGACUCUUCCAAACAGUUUGUCCUUGAGGUGGAUGCUUCAGAUUCUGGGGUAGAUGCUGUGCUUUCUCAACGUUCAAGUGAUGACGACAAACUCCACUCUUGUGCUCAUUUCUCCCGCAGACUGUCCCCCACUGAGAGAAAUUAUGAUGUUGGUGAUCGAGAGCUGUUAGCCAUCAAACUAGCCCUGGAGAAAUGGCGUCACUGGUUGGAGGGCACUGGUCUGGACUGAUCACAAGAACCUCUCCUACCUUCAGUCAGCCAAGCGUCUGAACCCACGCCAGUCCCGUUGGUCCCUAUUCUUCUCCCGGUUUAACCUCACCAUCUCAUACCGUCCUGGAAC